GUAUGAUUUAGACUUAUAAUAGUUCCAAUAGCUUAUUAUCUCUGUUAAUUGCAAUUAUGUGUUGCUGAAUUUGUACUCCGCAAAAUCACUAUAUAAUAGAUUUUCCAGAAAUAAAAUAAGCGAAAACAAGAGGGAAAAUACGACAGCAAAAUAAGGUGCUCAAGAUUUCUUUACGUGUAUUCUUUCUCGUUAUUUGAAACUCAAGCACAUCAACUGUUUAGUUGAAUAGCAGUGGAAAAAAGGUCGUUGAAGUGUCAAGAAUCACCAUCAUCCAUCUUGCGGAGAAAGAAAAAAAAUCUGGCCUAAGGUUUAGUCAACUUAAGCACCGAAGGAUAUCGAUUGAUAGAUGGAACGUGUUGGAUAAAUUUAUGAAAGCACUGGAAAACUUCGACAAUGAAAAAUAAUUAAGUUUACCUAUGAUGUAACUGUGAAAAAAUUUUUUUUGGUGAAUAUUUAUUCUCGAAACUAAUAUUUAAUCUAACUAGUUCACAAUAAAAAUGUGCUUAAGUAUUUUUAAAGUAAACUAUUGC